GAACGGUCUGGAAAGUCCGACGAUACAGGGUGAUAGUCCCGUAGUUGACGACGUGUGUUCAGUGAAAUCGAGUAGGGCGGGACACGUGAUAUCCUGUCUGAAUAUGGGGGGACCAUCCUCCAAGGCUAAAUACUACUGACUGACCGAUAGUGAACCAGUACCGUGAGGGAAAGGCGAAAAGAACCCCUGUGAGGGGAGUGAAAUAGAACCUGAAACCGUGUACGUACAAGCAGUAGGAGCACCUUCGUGGUGUGACUGCGUACCUUUUGUAUAAUGGGUCAGCGACUUAUAUUCAGUGGCAAGGUUAACCAUCUAGGGGAGCCGUAGGGAAACCGAGUCUUAACUGGGCGUUCAGUCUCUGGAUAUAGACCCGAAACCAGGUGAUCUAGCCAUGGGCAGGUUGAAGGUUGAGUAACAUCAACUGGAGGACCGAACCGACUAAUGUUGAAAAAUUAGCGGAUGACUUGUGGCUAGGGGUGAAAGGCCAAUCAAACCUGGAGAUAGCUGGUUCUCCCCGAAAGCUAUUUAGGUAGCGCCUCGGACGAAUACUACUGGGGGUAGAGCACUGUUAAGGCUAGGGGGUCAUCCCGACUUACCAACCCUUUGCAAACUCCGAAUACCAGUAAGUACUAUCCGGGAGACACACGGCGGGUGCUAACGUCCGUCGUGGAGAGGGAAACAACCCAGACCGCCAGCUAAGGUCCCAAAUUACUACUAAGUGGGAAACGAUGUGGGAAGGCUCAGACAGCCAGGAUGUUGGCUUAGAAGCAGCCAUCAUUUAAAGAAAGCGUAAUAGCUCACUGGUCGAGUCGGCCUGCGCGGAAGAUGUAACGGGGCUAAGUAGUAAACCGAAGCUGCGGCAAUAUACUUUUGUAUAUUGGGUAGGGGAGCGUUCUGUAAGCGGUUGAAGGUGUGUGGUAACGCAUGCUGGACGUAUCAGAAGUGCGAAUGCUGACAUGAGUAACGAUAAAGGGGGUGAAAAACCUCCUCGCCGGAAGACCAAGGGUUCCUGUCCAACGUUAAUCGGGGCAGGGUAAGUCGACCCCUAAGGCGAGGCCGAAAGGCGUAGUCGAUGGGAAACGGGUUAAUAUUCCCGUACUUCUUACAAUUGCGAUGGGGGGACGGAGAAGGCUAGGUGGGCCUGGCGACGGUUGUCCAGGUUCAAGUGCGUAGGCUUAAGAGUUAGGUAAAUCCGGCUCUUUUUAAGGCUGAGACACGACGUCGAGCACCUACGGGUGUGAAGUCAUUGAUGCCAUGCUUCCAGGAAAAGCCUCUAAGCUUCAGAUUGUAAGGAAUCGUACCCCAAACCGACACAGGUGGUCGGGUAGAGAAUACCAAGGCGCUUGAGAGAACUCGGGUGAAGGAACUAGGCAAAAUGGUACCGUAACUUCGGGAGAAGGUACGCUCUUGAUGGUGAAGUCCCUUGCGGAUGGAGCUGACGAGAGUCGCAGAUACCAGGUGGCUGCAACUGUUUAUUAAAAACACAGCACUGUGCAAAAUCGUAAGAUGACGUAUACGGUGUGACGCCUGCCCGGUGCCGGAAGGUUAAUUGAUGGGGUUAGACUUCGGUCGAAGCUCUUGAUCGAAGCCCCGGUAAACGGCGGCCGUAACUAUAACGGUCCUAAGGUAGCGAAAUUCCUUGUCGGGUAAGUUCCGACCUGCACGAAUGGCGUAAUGAUGGCCACGCUGUCUCCACCCGAGACUCAGUGAAAUUGAAAUCGCUGUGAAGAUGCAGUGUACCCGCGGCUAGACGGAAAGACCCCGUGAACCUUUACUACAGCUUGGCACUGAACAUUGACCCUACAUGUGUAGGAUAGGUGGGAGGCUUUGAAGCACGUACGCCAGUAUGUGUGGAGCCGUCCUUGAAAUACCACCCUUGUAGUGUUGAUGUUCUAACGUCGACCCCUUAUCGGGGUUGCGGACAGUGCCUGGUGGGUAGUUUGACUGGGGCGGUCUCCUCCCAAAGAGUAACGGAGGAGCACGAAGGUGGGCUAAUCACGGUUGGACAUCGUGAGGUUAGUGCAAUGGCAUAAGCCCGCUUGACUGCGAGAAUGACAAUUCGAGCAGGUGCGAAAGCAGGUCAUAGUGAUCCGGUGGUUCUGAAUGGAAGGGCCAUCGCUCAACGGAUAAAAGGUACUCCGGGGAUAACAGGCUGAUACCGCCCAAGAGUUCAUAUCGACGGCGGUGUUUGGCACCUCGAUGUCGGCUCAUCACAUCCUGGGGCUGAAGUCGGUCCCAAGGGUAUGGCUGUUCGCCAUUUAAAGUGGUACGCGAGCUGGGUUUAGAACGUCGUGAGACAGUUCGGUCCCUAUCUGCCGUGGGCGUUGGAAGAUUGAAGGGGGCUGCUCCUAGUACGAGAGGACCGGAGUGGACGAACCUCUGGUGUUCGGGUUGUGUCGCCAGACGCAUUGCCCGGUAGCUAAGUUCGGAAUCGAUAACCGCUGAAAGCAUCUAAGCGGGAAGCGAGCCCUGAGAUGAGUCUUCCCUGAUACUUUAAGUAUCCUAAAGGGUUGUCGGAGACUACGACGUUGAUAGGUCAGGUGUGUAAGUGCUGUGAGGCAUUGAGCUAACUGAUACUAAUUGCCCGUGAGGCUUAACCAUACAACACCCAAGGGGUUU
rnacentral:rRNA from 1 species